rnacentral:tRNA from 1 species
UUUAGAUAAGUGAUGCUCACAUUUGAUUUCGACUCAAACCCCUAUUCUUUAAUA